rnacentral:rRNA from 1 species
AUACGGAGGGGGCUAGCGUUGUUCGGAAUUACUGGGCGUAAAGCGUACGUAGGCGGAUGCGCAAGUUGGGGGUGAAAUCCCGGGGCUUAACCCCGGAAUUGCCCUCAAAACUGUGCGUCUUGAGACCGAGAGAGGUAAGGGGAAUUCCGAGUGUAGAGGUGAAAUUCGUAGAUAUUCGGAAGAACACCAGUGGCGAAGGCGCCUUACUGGCUCGGACCUGACGCUGAGGUACGAAAGCGUGGGGAGC